AACGUAGGAGACAAACGUUAUCCGGAGUUACUGGGCGUAAAGGGCGUGUAGGUGGUUUCGUAAGUCUGGCGUGAAAUUUCCCGGCUUAACCGGGAGUGGUCGUCGGAUACUGCGGGACUAGAGGACGGUAGGGGCGUGUGGAAUUCCGGGUGUAGUGGUGAAAUGCGUAGAGAUCCGGAGGAACACCAGUGGCGAAGGCGACACGCUGGGCCGUACCUGACACUGAUGCGCGACAGCAUGGGGAGCAAACAGG
rnacentral:rRNA from 1 species